AUUGAACGCUGGCGGCAGGCCUAACACAUGCAAGUCGAGCGGAGCGGCGGACGGGUGAGUAAUGCAUAGGAAUCUGACUGGUCGUGGGGGAUAACGUACGGAAACGGGCGCUAAUACCGCAUACUAUCAGAUGAGCCUAGGUCGGAUUAGCUAGUUGGUGGGGUAAAGGCCUACCAAGGCGACGAUCCGGAACUGGUCUGAGAGGAUGAUCAGUCACACUGGAACUGAGACACGGUCCAGACUCCUACGGGAGGCAGCAGUGGGGAAUAUUGCACAAUGGGCGCAAGCCUGAUGCAGCCAUUCCGGGUGUAUGAAGAAGGCCUUAGUGUUGUAAAGUACUUUCAGCGGGGAGGCGUUACCCGCAGAAGAAGCACCGGCUAACUCCGUGCCAGCAGCCGCGGUAAUAC
rnacentral:rRNA from 1 species